GAUGAACGCUGGCGGCGUGCCUAAUACAUGCAAGUCGAGCGAACAGAUGAGAAGCUUGCUUCUCUGAUGUUAGCGGCGGACGGGUGAGUAACACGUGGGUAACCUACCUAUAAGACUGGGAUAACUCCGGGAAACCGGGGCUAAUACCGGAUAAUAUUUUGAACCGCAUGGUUCGAUAGUGAAAGGCGGUUUCGGCUGUCACUUAUAGAUGGACCCGCGCCGUAUUGGCUAGUUGGUAAGGUAACGGCUUACCAAGGCGACGAUACGUAGCCGACCUGAGAGGGUGAUCGGCCACACUGGAACUGAGACACGGUCCAGACUCCUACGGGAGGCAGCAGUAGGGAAUCUUCCGCAAUGGGCGAAAGCCUGACGGAGCAACGCCGCGUGAGUGAUGAAGGUCUUCGGAUCGUAAAACUCUGUUGUUAGGGAAGAACAAAUUUGUUAGUAACUGAACAAGUCUUGACGGUACCUAACCAGAAAGCCACGGCUAACUACGUGCCAGCCGCCGCAGUAA
rnacentral:rRNA from 1 species